rnacentral:lncRNA from 1 species
GUGCUUAUGGGUGCCUGGCCCUGGGCUGAGUCCUUGAUGUGCAAAGGGCCUUACAAGAGGUUCAAUUCAACUCAGACUUCAUAAGAAAGCCAAAGCCUGGUUUUAUGAUUGCAGCCCUCAGCCUGGGCUGCCUGAAGACGAAGAGAAAGAGCAAGGUUAUUGUUGGCUCAGGCCUUGUUAGCCAGACUUCGUGCUCUGUACGCAUUCAAUUUCCUCCCCUCCAAACAUCAUCCCUGGGAACUGCUGAGUUCAGAUAGAAUAUAUGUUGGUAGUUUGCAGUUGGGUUAUUAUCCAUUUGUUCAUAAAAAUUAACCUUUUGUAUUA